AAGUCGUAACAAGGUCUCCGUUGGUGAACCAGCGGAGGGAUCAUUACAAGAAGCCGAAAGGCUGCUUAAAACCAUCGCGAACCUAUCCAUCAGCGUUGCUUCGGCGGGAGGAGGCCGCGGGGCCGACGUCUUGCGAGACGCCGGUUCCGGGCCGGGGACCCACACCUCUCCGGGGGUGCGGGGCCCGCCCGCCGGAGGUACGAAACCCUUCUGCAUCUAUAGUGGAAUCUCUGAGUAAGCAAGCAAAUAAGUUAAAACUUUCAACAACGGAUCUCUUGGUUCUG
rnacentral:misc_RNA from 1 species